rnacentral:misc_RNA from 1 species
GAUGAAGAACGUAGCGAAAUGCGAUAAGUAAUGUGAAUUGCAGAAUUCAGUGAAUCAUCGAAUCUUUGAACGCACAUUGCGCCCGCCAGUAUUCUGGCGGGCAUGCCUGUUCGAGCGUCAUUUCAACCCUCAAGACCCCUUCGGGGGACUUGGUGUUGGGGACCGGCACAGGGGCCUCCCUGCUUGUCUUGCAGCGCCCUCGCCGCCCCCGAAAUGAAUUGGCGGCCUCGUCGCGGCCUCCCCUGCGUAGUAGCACAAACCUCGCAACGGGAACGUGACGGCGGCCACUGCCGUAAAACAACCCAAUUUUAUUAGAGUUGACCUCGAAUCAGGUAGGAAUACCCGCUGAACUUAAGCAUAUCAAUAAGCGGAGGA